rnacentral:rRNA from 1 species
GAUGAACGCUGGCGGCGUGCCUAAUACAUGCAAGUCGAGCGAACAGACGAGGAGCUUGCUCCUCUGACGUUAGCGGCGGACGGGUGAGUAACACGUGGAUAACCUACCUAUAAGACUGGGAUAACUUCGGGAAACCGGAGCUAAUACCGGAUAAUAUAUUGAACCGCAUGGUUCAAUAGUGAAAGACGGUUUUGCUGUCACUUAUAGAUGGAUCCGCGCCGCAUUAGCUAGUUGGUAAGGUAACGGCUUACCAAGGCAACGAUGCGUAGCCGACCUGAGAGGGUGAUCGGCCACACUGGAACUGAGACACGGUCCAGACUCCUACGGGAGGCAGCAGUGGGGAAUCUUCCGCAAUGGGCGAAAGCCUGACGGAGCAACGCCGCGUGAGUGAUGAAGGUCUUCGGAUCGUAAAACUCUGUUAUUAGGGAAGAACAAAUGUGUAAGUAACUCUGCACGUCUUGACGGUACCUAAUCAGAAAGCCACGGCUAACUACGUG